UUUUCACCAUUUUGAAUUUCGUUCUUGCUUCUCAAGGUUGAACUGGAAGAAGGAUGGUGUGCAACCGCAGCUACACCUUUUGAGAUGGUCUUUGUGUCACUGCCAGUCUGAUCCUGUCCCCCGAAGUCUGCUGUCGAGUGAAGUUGACAGAUGACAAGAGAACUCAUGGAAACUGGUCUGAAGAUGGAUGUCAGCAUGUGUUGUUUGUUUUUUUUU